ensembl:lncRNA
ACACACACACACAAACGCACGCGCACACUCUCUCUCUCACAUACACACACACACAACUGUCCUUUACUGUCCCUGGUUUUAAAGUUCUGCUCUGCUGGCCACCCUAUGCGCUCUGCAUCCUGCAUGCUGCUACCGGCACGCCUUACCUUUCUACUUUUCUGUUCUUUUUCCCGGGGAAUCAAUCCAUCAUCAACACAAUGAUCAAGUUACUCAUCCUAAGUCUGAGAAGGUGAAGGGGAAGACUACAUUGCAUGACAAGGAAAUAGCAGACAGGGGUGAGGACUUCACCAGGUGAUGGGCGAUGUUUGAGGAGCCAUGACCUCUUGACAGAGGUCACAGGAUGAAACAUCCACCUGUUCCCAACGCACUGUGCCUACAGCCAGCCACAGAAAAGUCAGAGACUUCCCAAAGCCACAGCCAUGAUGCCAUGAAAUGUUCUGCUGUCCUUUGGUCCUAUGUUUUGUUAUUGGCCAUUUGUUUGCUUCUACAUACAUUAUUCCUAGACUGUAAAAAUUGAUUCAAAAAAUGCAGUCAGGCACAGUCAGACAAAAUGCAAAUAUAUGUGUCACAUUUUUCUUUCCAAACUCCUCUCUUCUUUUAACUACCUCUCUUCUCUGGUGGCUAUUUUUAGAAAAAAGAACUGAGAGUAAAACUGAGAAAGGUCUCCUGAAAAUACCAUCUGGUUUUCACAGGUCACCAUAUAUAUAUAUAUAUAUAUAUAUAUAUAUAUAUAUAUAUAUAUAUACGUAUAUAUAGUCUAUACAUACAUACUGUAUACAUAUGAUCUUGUCCUGGAAUGCAUGAAGAUUUCUCUGUGAUAUAAGAGGAGGUAGGCAAUGUGUAGUAAGGCAUUUGUAGUUCCUAAAGGUUCCUAAAGGUUCAGCAUUUGUAGUAAGGUUCCCAAAGGUUCUGUAACAGGUCAGCCCAAGUGUGAUUCUGCGCCCCCACCACCAUCCCAUCCUCUGCCACAACCACAGUCAGACAUGAGGGGCUUACGAAAAGGUAAUCCAGCAUUCUGAGACGGGAUUAUGAGUUCAUUUUCACAGGGUAAUCACUGACACACACACAGCCAUGGAUGCCCCCACCCCACACACACACACACUUUCCAAUGAGUGAUAAACAAACUGUCUCAUUCAGUAACAAUCUUUCUUACAAACAAUCUGAAUUGUAACAGUAAGACCACUAUAAAGAAAAUAUGCAAACCUGCUGUUUUGUGAUAAGUGGCAAAACUGAAUCGUUUUAGCAAAACAGGCAUAACUAAAAAUGGGAAAGUGGAUUUUUUUACCAAAUUAAUUUCUUACAGUAAGGCACGAUCAUGAAGAACACACUGAGGCCAUUUUGUCCAGCGGACAGUGGCCAAUAAAGCGUUGUUACACGUGUCCGCAGUUAUGUCAAUGUCACGUCCCUUUCAAACCUGAUUAACAUUUGUAAAAUGUCUGGUGAUAGUGUGGGCGCAGGGUCUACGAGUUUGGGUGUCACAUAAAACAGAGCCCACUUGAGUUUAGUUUCAGCUGACCUCUUCAGCUUCCGAAGAUGCCCUGUUUAUCGAAAUGCGCUCCUGGUUAUCAGCUCUUUACACUCAGCUAUGGCACUUGAACAUCACCUUGACCUGAACACCAUGCCAUCCUGCAUAGGCACAAUGUUACAGAGAGUAUUAUAAAUAGAAGAAGGACAAUACAUCUACUUCAUUAGACUAGGAAACUAGGAAAUAUAGCAAAAAAACGCAUGGCCAAAUCAAUAAUAUCCACCCAUAAAAUUCCAUCCAUAAAAUAUCCAUCUGUCUCGACGUGAAUUUCAGCUUUUGUCCCGAACGAGAGUCCCAUUUUUCUAUUAAUUGAUAUAAAAACACGAAUUUACUCAACUAUCCCAUGUUAGGUGCACACAGCUCACCAAUUGGUGUGGCUGUAGCUCAGACAAAUAUACUACUUUUGCAAUCGCACCAUUGUAACUUCAACAACACAGACACUCAAGUUACUUACAACCUCCAAAGCAUAGCCUCAGCAUCAUCAAGCAAUAAAGCGAAAUCAUUUCCACAACUUUGCAUCGUUGUAAGUUGAUAAUUAAAAUAAAAACUCACUCGCUAUUUUGGGUCCAAUGUUUGAUGGUACAAUUUGUGUGAUUCCAACUUAACAGUUCAGUUUACAUUUCAGUUACAUUUGUAGUUUUUCCGCAGAAUGAAAGUUUUGGUGGGAGGCUCGCGCAGUUGUCCUUCAAACGCACUGUUCUCGUGAGGGCGCUCGAACUACAUAUUAACCUCGCGGCCAUCUAGUGGCACGUUCGUGCGCGCCCUGCCUCCAUCCCAACCUCCCGAGGUAUUUCUGUCUGUCUCGUAUUUCCCCCUCUGAGUCGAACACAGACGAUUCGAGAGAAUUUAAUACGGACUGUAAAACAAUCUGGUUUCCUUCAUGAAAGCUUUAGAAGUUUAACUGUUUUCUUGAUAAACUACUCCGCUCAUUAGGCAACUAUUUAAUUGACCUGUUUGUCUCACAUGGCC